rnacentral:lncRNA from 1 species
CGUGUAUAAAACUCACUAUAGGUCCGACAUUUUUGUAUAUGACAAAAAAAAAAAGAUUAUUUCUUAUUCUGAUCGAAAUCUCAAAUCAAGAUUUGUUGAAAAUAAAAAAAUGAUGAAAUAUGAAUUAAAGGGCAAAUGAUGAAAUAUGAAUUAAUGGCAAAUGAUCUGAGCAUGUAAAUGCCAAGUAGAGAUAAUUCUCUAUGUGUUGAGUUGGAAGGGGAUAUUGCAACAACUAUGGCAACAGCUUACCACAAAAAUAAUAUACGAGCUAUCGAUUUGCCCCGUAAAGUAGAAGCGUACAUCCAGACUCGUAUCCUCAAGAAGAUUCAGGAAAACAUCUUUAGAAAAAGACGAGGAUUUGGCCAGGAAAGUGUGGAAGACGAUAUUGAAAACGUACUGUAAUGGCUAGAGAUAAUCGAUGUUAAACAUAAAUGAUUAUUAAAAGGGUGUUGUAAAAGUGAAACAACAGAACGUAUAAUUAAAUUAUUAAUUAAAACAACAGAAAGUGGGAAAUUUUGAUGGC